ACUCGCUGUGGCAGUAGGGGAAGGGGCCUUCCAGGGCUGUGGGCAGCUGCCCAGGGUCCACAUGGUGGCUGAGAGCUCUCAGUGAGGUCACCACCUCUACCUGCAGAUGAAAGAAGACAGUCAAGAUGACCAGGGGACUCAGCGUGGGCACACCUGUUUGAGAAGGGCCUGCCAGAUCCCUGCCCCAACACCACUCCAUCUGCCACAGUGACCCACCAAGGUGCCGUCUCCUUCUUGGGGCUGAGAAAGGUCACCAAAUCCUGACCGUACCCUCUAAGACACGGAGGAGGGACGAGGUGGCUGCUUCUCCCGGACGGUGAAGUUGGAGGUUUAUGCUAGGAACAGCUCCAGAUACCUAAGCUUGGGAUUGGGCGGAUUCUGUUUGUUUGGGCCCAUCUGUUAUCCUCGGUACUCAAAGUGUGGUCCACGGACCAGCAGCAUCAACAUCACCUAGGAGCAUGUUAGAGAUGCAGAAUCCCAGGCCCCAUCCAGGGCUACUCCAUUAGAACCUGCGCUUUGACAAGGUCCCCAAGGGAUUCACUGGCACAUAAACCCUUAAAAAGCACAUCUCUAGGGGCGCCUGGGUGGCUCAGUCGGUUAAGCAUCCAACUUUGCCUCAGGUCAUGAUCUCAGAGUCCGUGAAUUCUAGCCCUGCAUCGGGCUCUGUGCUGACAGCCCGGAGCCUGGAGCCUGUUUCAGAUUCUGUGUCUCCCUCUCUCUCUGCCCCUCCCCCGUUCAUGCUCUGUCUCAAAAAUAAAUCAACAUUAAAUUUUUUUUU